UACGGAGGAUGCAAGCGUUAUCCGGAAUGAUUGGGCGUAAAGAGUCCGUAGGUGGUUAUUCAAGUCGAUUGUUAAAGAGCGGGGCUUAACCCCGUAGAAGCAGUGGAAACUGAAUAACUAGAGAGAGGUAGGGGUAGAGGGAAUUCCCGGUGUAGCGGUGAAAUGCGUAGAGAUCGGGAAGAACACCAGUGGCGAAAGCGCUCUACUGGGCCUCAGCUGACACUGAGGGACGAAAGCUAGGGGAGCGAAAGGG
rnacentral:rRNA from 1 species